rnacentral:piRNA from 1 species
UACACUUGAGAGAAGACAUUGUAG